rnacentral:rRNA from 1 species
UAGGGAAUCUUCGGCAAUGGGGGCAACCCUGACCGAGCAACGCCGCGUGAGUGAAGAAGGUUUUCGGAUCGUAAAGCUCUGUUGUAAGAGAAGAACGUGUGUGAGAGUGGAAAGUUCACACAGUGACGGUAACUUACCAGAAAGGGACGGCUAACUACGUGCCAUCAGCCGCGGUAAUACGUAGGUCCCGAGCGUUGUCCGGAUUUAUUGGGCGUAAAGCGAGCGCAGGCGGUUUAAUAAGUCUGAAGUUAAAGGCAGUGGCUUAACCAUUGUGCGCUUGGGAAAGUGUUAAACUUGAGUGCGGAAGGGGAGAGUGGAAGUCCAUGUGUAGCGGUGAAAUGCGUAGAUAUAUGGAGGAACAACGGUGGAGAGAGCGGCUCUCUGGUCUGUAACUGACGCUGAGGCUCGAAAGCGUGGGGAGCAAACAGG